rnacentral:rRNA from 1 species
CACGGGGGGAGCAAGCGUUGUUCGGAAUCACUGGGCGUAAAGGGCGUGUAGGCGGUCAGGUAAGUGGAAUGUGAAAGCCUCGCUCACCCGAGGAUCUGCAUUCCAAACUGCCUGGCUUGAGUAUGGGAGAGGAUGAGGGAAUUCCAGGUGUAGCGGUGAAAUGCGUAGAUAUCUGGAGGAACACCGGUGGCGAAGGCGGCAUCCUGGACCAACACUGACGCUGAGGAGCGAAAGCCAGGGGAGCAAACGGG